UUAUACAGAAGAGAAUUUCAGUUUUAAAGUAUGUUCCAUAUGGAACAUCUGGUGUGCUGACACUUGAUAGAAGUGCAUAAGAUGAUUGACCAACUCCAGGUACAACCUUCAGAUAUGUCUGUUCUUCUGUUGCUUUGACAGCUUUGAUUAACUUACUUGCUGCCUUUAUGUAUGUGACUUCUCUUGUCAUCUUACCGUCUGUACCAACAACCCAGGGUGCUUGUUCAAGGGCAGUAGUCCCCUGACUCUCGGCCAAAGACGGCAAGUAAUCCGAAUCUGGUGAGAACAGAUAGGUGUUCAAAGCAGCUGUUGAGG
rnacentral:lncRNA from 1 species